rnacentral:rRNA from 1 species
CCUACGGGAGGCAGCAGUGGGGAAUUUUCCGCAAUGGGCGAAAGCCUGACGGAGCAAUACCGCGUGAAGGAAGACGGCCUAUGGGUUGUAAACUUCUUUUUUCAGGGAGGAACUCAAUGACGUGUACCUGAAGAAUAAGCAUCGGCUAACUCCGUGCCAGCAGCCGCGGUAAGACGGAGGAUGCAAGUGUUAUCCGGAAUCACUGGGCGUAAAGCGUCUGUAGGUGGUUUAGUAAGUCGACUGUUAAAUCUUGGGGCUCAACCUCAAAAUCGCAUUCGAAACUAUUAGACUUGAGUAUAGUAGAGGUAAAGGGAAUUUCCAGUGGAGCGGUGAAAUGCGUAGAUAUUGGAAAGAACACCGAUGGCGAAGGCACUUUGCUGGGCUAUUACUGACACUCAGAGACGAAAGCUAGGGUAGCAAAUGGGAUUAGAUACCCCAGUAGUCCUAGCCGUAAACAAUGGAUACUAGAUGUUGGACAGAUCGACCUGUGCAGUAUCAAAGCUAACGCGUUAAGUAUCCCGCCUGGGGAGUACGGCCGCAAGGCUAAAACUCAAAGGAAUUGACGG